GUGAAGGGGGACCAGUCCUGGUGACGACAUUUACUGUCUGAGCUGGGGUUGGUCGCAGAGACCAGAGAGAAGCGACUGUUUACUAAAAACACAGGUCCGUGCGAAGUCGUAAGACGAUGUAUACGGACUGACGCCUGCCCGGUGCUGGAAGGUUAAGAGGACCGGUCAGCCACUUCGGUGGCGAAGCUGAGAAUUUAAGCCCCAGUAAACGGCGGUGGUAACUAUAACCAUCCUAAGGUAGCGAAAUUCCUUGUCGGGUAAGUUCCGACCUGCACGAAUGGCGUAACGACUUCUCUGCUGUCUCAACCACAGACUCGGCGAAAUUGCAGUACGAGUAAAGAUGCUCGUUACGCGCGGCAGGACGAAAAGACCCCGGGACCUUCACUAUAGCUUGGUAUUGGUGUUCGGUUCGGUUUGUGUAGGAUAGGUGGGAGACUGUGAAACUCGCACGCCAGUGUGGGUGGAGUCAUUGUUGAAAUACCACUCUGACCGUAUUGGACAUCUAACCUCGGACCAUGAUCUGGUUCAGGGACAGUGCCUGGUGGGUAGUUUAACUGGGGCGGUUGCCUCCUAAAAAGUAACGGAGGCGCCCAAAGGUUCCCUCAGCCUGGUUGGCAAUCAGGUGUUGAGUGUAAGUGCACAAGGGAGCUUGACUGUGAGACGUACAUGUCGAGCAGGGACGAAAGUCGGGACUAGUGAUCCGGCACCGGCAAGUGGAAGCGGUGUCGCUCAACGGAUAAAAGGUACCCCGGGGAUAACAGGCUGAUCUUCCCCAAGAGUCCAUAUCGACGGGAUGGUUUGGCACCUCGAUGUCGGCUCGUCGCAUCCUGGGGCUGGAGUAGGUCCCAAGGGUUGGGCUGUUCGCCCAUUAAAGCGGCACGCGAGCUGGGUUUAGAACGUCGUGAGACAGUUCGGUCUCUAUCCGCCGCGCGCGUAAGAAACUUGAGGAAACCUGUCCCUAGUACGAGAGGACCGGGACGGACGAACCUCUGGUGUGCCAGUUGUUCCACCAGGAGCACCGCUGGUUAGCUACGUUCGGAAGGGAUAACCGCUAAAAGCAUCUAAGCGGGAAGCCUGUUCCAAGAUGAGGUUUCUCACCACCUAGCGUGGUUAAGGCCCCCCACAGACCAUGGGGUUGAUAGGCCAGAACUGUAAGCACAGCAAUGUGUUCAGGUGACUGGUACUAAUCGGCCGAGGACUUC
rnacentral:rRNA from 1 species